UUUCUCCUGAGAGGGAAGCAGACGUAGGGCAUGCAAAGUAGAAGGCCAGGUGACUUGGGACUCGCUAUGACUUGCCCACAGAGCGCUCUAGCGCACGCAAAGUUCUAACCUUCACAGCAGCCCUGCAAAGGAAAUCUGGUCAGGCCUUUCUACAAAUGAGGGCUAAGGGAGGUACAGAGAGGUGACUUAAAAUCAGUUAAGGCGUUAGAGUUCAACCAGUUAGAGUGAAAUCAGAGUUCAACCCAGCCCAGAGCUAUCUGCCCCCAACACCUGGUCACCCUUCAUCACCCCGUCGAUCACUUGCCCAGGGGUGGGGGGAGUUAGAGCAGACCCUUCUGCACUAGUCUAACCAGGGAACUCACACACCCCAGGUAUACCUCCUUCCCUCCACCCCACCCUUCUUCCUGAAACUCCCUCUGCUCAGAAUGCCCCUGGCCGUCCUCUCCCGACAAGGAAAUUCUUUCCAUUCUCCAAAGGCCACCUCUAGGUUGAAUUCCCGUUCUGCCUGCGAAGCAUGCUACAUCUCCUCCAGCCCGUGCAGCGCGCUCCCGCAGCUGAACUUCUGACCGCUUCAUCUGUGCCCUAGCCCGUUCUGUCAUAUGAGGAUAUGGUGAGAGGUCUGCAACCAGAAGGGGCCCCUCAUCCAACCAAGCAGGCAUCCUGAUCUUGGACUUCCAGCCUUCAGAUCUGUGAGCAAUGAAUUUCAACUGUUUAUAAGCUUCCUGGCCUAUGGAUUUUUUUUUUUUAGCAGCAGAGCAAAGGACUAAGGUGAGCUUUGAGCACAUUUCUGAGCCUCUCAAAGCUCUGAUUUCCUCAUCUAUGAAAACCUACCUCACCAGCGUUUGGUCUCAAGUUAUAAAUGGAAAGAUGUUCUACGAACAGGAGCUCAUAGGAUCUGCACACGCUCUGGCCCUUUCUCUACUGGAAUCUCAUUUUGCAAACAAGACGGACUGGAGAAAAUGGAAGCAUUUGAGACCUGAGAUGACUGGGCUGAAUUUCUUAAUGGAGUGAUUUUUUUUUUUUUUUUUUUUGGAAGUGAUUUGUGUCUGAAGAAUAGGCUGUCCAGGGCCAGCUAAGUGGACGGCUUUCCUGGAGAGAGGGGGAGAGAGGACUUGCUCGUGCCUGACCGCUGCUUAUGGGGGGGAGGGGGCACAGCCCCUGCAAGAAUCUGCUUGGAGACCCAUCCCAUACAGCCAUCAUAGGUGCGUCAUGAGGCUCAUGUGACAUAAGAGCCGCGGAGGUGUUCGAAAAGGUCGCAAGUGCUACAGGGUGAUUCACCGUCCCCAUUUCUCUCCGGUCUGUCUUCCCCCGCGCCUGCCCUAACCUGGGCCUUCGCCGUCCGGCCCCGUGACUGCGCUCUGGUCUCCAGUCUGCACGCCGUCCACGCCUCAGUCCCAGCUGUGCCCUGACAUCCUUCCAAAACCCACCCCAGCUAAGUGCAUCCCGCUGGGACACCUCCCGCCAGGGAAGCCGGUCAGGAGGAUGGGCUGCCUUCCCAAAAUCACAAAACAGCAAAAGGGAGAUUAUGCAGCUGGGCCUCAUUUAGACGCGCGCCUUGGGGCAGAGCGUUUUCUCCAGCCGCUGGCAGAAGAGAAGGAGGCCACAGGCAGCGAGGGGGCAGAACCUCGGCCCGCAGCCACAGGAACCGCAUGCAGCCAGCAACCUGACGGAGCUUGGACGCUGAUUUGUCCCCAGAGCCUCCGGAGGAGAGCCCUGCCUGGCCCAAACCGUGAGUUGGGCCUUGCGAGACCCUGAACAGAAACCCCAGUUGACCCUACUUGAAUCUCCGACUAAAUGGGUAUCAUUUCAAUCUGCUAAAUGUUUAGUAAUUCGGUAUGCAAGGUCUUGGGUGAGGCUGCUUUAACAAAGUACCACAGCAUGGGUGG